AUGGCUCCAAUCCAUUGUCCCCAUUGGACAUUCCACCUCUUCUGCUACAAGAACGCACAUAUGGAUGCAAGUGAAAGGGCAAGCUUUCUCAAGAAGAUGCAUGAAGAUACAAGGGAAACGAUCAAGCGUCAAGUACAACGCCUCACCACCAAGCACAACAUCAACAAGACACCAAUGAUGAUCCAACCAGGAGAUCUCGUAUGGCAUCAUCUUUGCAAGGACCGCUUCCCCAACAAGCACAAGUCGAAGUUACUACCUCGAGCCGACGAACCCUUCAAGGUGCUAGCACGCUCAAGUACAACAUAA
rnacentral:rRNA from 1 species